GAUGAACGCUAGCGAUAGGCCUAACACAUGCAAGUCGAGGGGCAGCGCAAAGAGCAGCAAUGUUUUUGGCGGCGACCGGCGAAUGGGUGAGUAACACGUAUGCAACCUGCCUUUAACAGGGGGAUAACCCGUUGAAAGACGGACUAAUACUCCAUAACACAGGGGUUCCGCAUGGAGCAAUUUGUUAAAGAUUUAUCGGUUAAAGAUGGGCAUGCGUUCCAUUAGUUAGUUGGU
rnacentral:rRNA from 1 species